AGUACAUUAAAAUCAUAACAUGACUCAUUCAAAUAAAAUGAUGUACCAGUCACAGACCUUAAUUAAUUAUCGUUCUGAAUAGCUCCAUUUUAUACAGAUUUCCUAAAGGGCCAGAGUGAUGUUGACAUUUGGAUUUCUGGUGGGAGGCUGUUCCUAGGAUUAUAAAUGACAAGUACAUUGAUUAAAUCCUGGGCACUUACAAACGCUUAAUUCUACAUUUAACCUUUCUUUCCUUGUAGGUCUCCUGUAAAUCCUGUUGGUCCCCCUGUUUAAAUGUUUUCCCUGCCUUGUUAUUUAAUGAAUAUAUUCAAUAUAACGUGCUGUGCAGUAUAUCCCUGGAUUUAUGUGUGUCAGGAGAGACACAUGUCAUGCAGAAGUUAGAGCACUACCAGUUUCCCAUUCAGUAUCUUGGUGGGAAAGCACAGGAGGGUUACAUGUUGUGCAGGGCAGUUGUGCAAUAAAAACCUCUGCCUGGGUGGCGGGUCUGUCAGACAUUUCUGUCUAGCUUCUCUGGCUCUGUGUUCCAAACUUGGCAUGUGUCUUUUGUGCCGCUUCAUGAGGUGGGCAGAAGGUGUAUCACAGUGGAGGGAGAGUUGACAUACGAGUCUGACAUUUAGUCUGGGAGAUCUGACUUGAACCCUCUUGGCUCACUUUGUGGCCUUGGGACACUCACUGUUGCCCAGCCUUAGUUCUUCAUGCUAAGAAAAUGAGAAUGGCCAUCUUAGUUUUGAAAAAUCAGUGACACGCAUUCCUUCAAGGUCACCUGCACCCAACUCCCCACCAUCCCUCUCUGUAUAUGCCAUUUUCUCCAUGUACAAUAGUAUAAUUUAUGCCUUUGUUUGGGAACAGGAUGGUUUUAACAUCAACUAUCAUGUGCAAAAUAAAGUAGAAUGGAAGGGGGGGGGGGAGGUGUCUUUCUGAUCCCCUCUUCCCACCAUG